rnacentral:rRNA from 1 species
AGAGUUUGAUCCUGGCUCAGAUUGAACGCUGGCGGCAGGCCUAACACAUGCAAGUCGAGCGGUAGCACAGAGAGCUUGCUCUCGGGUGACGAGCGGCGGACGGGUGAGUAAUGUCUGGGAAACUGCCUGAUGGAGGGGGAUAACUACUGGAAACGGUAGCUAAUACCGCAUAAUGUCGCAAGACCAAAGUGGGGGACCUUCGGGCCUCAUGCCAUCAGAUGUGCCCAGAUGGGAUUAGCUAGUAGGUGGGGUAACGGCUCACCUAGGCGACGAUCCCUAGCUGGUCUGAGAGGAUGACCAGCCACACUGGAACUGAGACACGGUCCAGACUCCUACGGGAGGCAGCAGUGGGGAAUAUUGCACAAUGGGCGCAAGCCUGAUGCAGCCAUGCCGCGUGUGUGAAGAAGGCCUUCGGGUUGUAAAGCACUUUCAGCGGGGAGGAAGGCGAUAAGGUUAAUAACCUUGUCGAUUGACGUUACCCGCAGAAGAAGCACCGGCUAACUCCGUGCCAGCAGCCGCGGUAAUACGGAGGGUGCAAGCGUUAAUCGGAAUUACUGGGCGUAAAGCGCACGCAGGCGGUCUGUCAAGUCGGAUGUGAAAUCCCCGGGCUCAACCUGGGAACUGCAUUCGAAACUGGCAGGCUAGAGUCUUGUAGAGGGGGGUAGAAUUCCAGGUGUAGCGGUGAAAUGCGUAGAGAUCUGGAGGAAUACCGGUGGCGAAGGCGGCCCCCUGGACAAAGACUGACGCUCAGGUGCGAAAGCGUGGGGAGCAAACAGGAUUAGAUACCCUGGUAGUCCACGCCGUAAACGAUGUCGAUUUGGAGGUUGUGCCCUUGAGGCGUGGCUUCCGGAGCUAACGCGUUAAAUCGACCGCCUGGGGAGUACGGCCGCAAGGUUAAAACUCAAAUGAAUUGACGGGGGCCCGCACAAGCGGUGGAGCAUGUGGUUUAAUUCGAUGCAACGCGAAGAACCUUACCUGGUCUUGACAUCCACAGAACUUUCCAGAGAUGGAUUGGUGCCUUCGGGAACUGUGAGACAGGUGCUGCAUGGCUGUCGUCAGCUCGUGUUGUGAAAUGUUGGGUUAAGUCCCGCAACGAGCGCAACCCUUAUCCUUUGUUGCCAGCGGUCCGGCCGGGAACUCAAAGGAGACUGCCAGUGAUAAACUGGAGGAAGGUGGGGAUGACGUCAAGUCAUCAUGGCCCUUACGACCAGGGCUACACACGUGCUACAAUGGCAUAUACAAAGAGAAGCGACCUCGCGAGAGCAAGCGGACCUCAUAAAGUAUGUCGUAGUCCGGAUUGGAGUCUGCAACUCGACUCCAUGAAGUCGGAAUCGCUAGUAAUCGUAGAUCAGAAUGCUACGGUGAAUACGUUCCCGGGCCUUGUACACACCGCCCGUCACACCAUGGGAGUGGGUUGCAAAAGAAGUAGGUAGCUUAACCUUCGGGAGGGCGCUUACCACUUUGUGAUUCAUGACUGGGGUGAAGUCGUAAAAGGUAACC